GCCGAAGUGAUGGAAUUGGCAGACAUGUAUGAUUCAGGUUCAUAUGCUCUAAACAGGCGUGGGGGUUCAACUCCCCCCUUCGGCAC
rnacentral:tRNA from 1 species